GUAGGGAAUAUUGGGCAAUGGAGGCAACUCUGACCCAGCCAUGCCGCGUGCAGGAUGACGGCCCUCUGGGUUGUAAACUGCUUUUAUACGGGAAGAAAAAAUACUACGUGUAGUAUACUGACGGUACCGUAAGAAUAAGGAUCGGCUAACUCCGUGCCAGCAGUCGCGGUAAUACGGAGGAUCCAAGCGUUGUCCGGAUUUAUUGGGUUUAAAGGGUGCGUAGGCGGAUCUUUAAGUCAGUGGUGAAAGCCUGCAGCUUAACUGUAGAAUUGCCAUUGAAACUGAAGAUCUUGAAUGUGGUUAAAGUAGGCGGAAUGUAUCAUGUAGCGGUGAAAUGCUUAGAUAUGAUACAGAACACCGAUAGCGAAGGCAGCUUGCUGAACCAUUAUUGACGCUGAGGCACGAAAGCGUGGGGAGCGAACAGGAUUAGAUACCCCGGUAGUCC
rnacentral:rRNA from 1 species